GUAGUGGUUCCAAAAAAAAAAAAAAAAAGUUUCCAAAUCCUCGACAGUUGCCUGCCUGAAACAGAAAGAAAGAUGCUGCUCUCACCUUCGACAUUUCCUAAUGCUUCUUCUUCUUCAUCUCUGAGCUCUCUCUCUCUCCCCCUCUCACUCUCUCUCCUUUCCUCCUCCACUAAGUCAGUUAAGGAUGCGGAGCGGCAACGGUGGAUUCCCUGGCGGCAGUGGCUUCUUUAUCCUAGCGUUCAAGGAGGUGUAAAUGCAGGGGAUCGAUGCUAGCUGCUCGUUUGGGUUUAAAUCCGAGGCUCAUUUCUAAGGUACUCUAUUGGACUUGAAAAUGGAGACAGAAAUCUUUAGGAUUCCACUUGUGAUCAUGGAGUUGAAAACUGCUGCAUGUUCUUCCAAAAGAAGGAGAAAGAACCACAUGGAAGUUUUAUUCGGCUGUAUUUUUGUUAGCAUCUCAACCUUUCUUACUGUAGGUUCUUGUGAUGCCGGGAAGCAAAUUCGUUUGUGAUUAAUUGCAUGUUUUCCCACGACAAAUAUAAUCUUUUUCACCGCA